UACGUAGGGCGCAAGCGUUGUCCGGAAUUAUUGGGCGUAAAGAGCUCGUAGGCGGCUUGUCACGUCGGAUGUGAAAGCCCGGGGCUUAACUCCGGGUCUGCAUUCGAUACGGGCUAGCUAGAGUGUGGUAGGGGAGAUCGGAAUUCCUGGUGUAGCGGUGAAAUGCGCAGAUAUCAGGAGGAACACCGGUGGCGAAGGCGGAUCUCUGGGCAGUGGCUGACGCUGAGGCGCGACAGCGUGGGGAGCAAACAGG
rnacentral:rRNA from 1 species